rnacentral:rRNA from 1 species
AUAUCAAUAAGCGGAGGAAAAGAAACCAACAGGGAUUGCCUCAGUAACGGCGAGUGAAGCGGCAACAGCUCAAAUUUGAAAUCUGGGUCUUUCAGGCUCCGAGUUGUAAUUUGUAGAAGAUGCUUCGGGUGUGGCUCCGGUCUAAGUUCCUUGGAACAGGACGUCAUAGAGGGUGAGAAUCCCGUAUGUGACUGGCUGCCUUCGCCCAUGGUGAAGCUCUUUCGACGAGUCGAGUUGUUUGGGAAUGCAGCUCAAAAUGGGUGGUAAAUUUCAUCUAAAGCUAAAUAUUGGCCAGAGACCGAUAGCGCACAAGUAGAGUGAUCGAAAGAUGAAAAGCACUUUGGAAAGAGAGUUAAACAGUACGUGAAAUUGUUGAAAGGGAAGCGCUUGCAACCAGACUUGCACGCUGCUGAUCAUCCGGGGUUCUCCCCGGUGCACUCGGUUGCGUUCAGGCCAGCAUCGGUUUGGGUGGUUGGAUAAAGGCCUUGGGAAUGUAGCUUCUUUCGGGGAGUGUUAUAGCCCUCGGUGCAAUGCAGCCUACCCGGACCGAGGACCGCGCUUCGGCUAGGAUGCUGGCGUAAUGGUUGUAAGCGA